UCAACGUGGUUACCCCGGGAGGUCACUCUCCCCGGGCUCUCUCCUAGUGAAGUAAGGAAGCAAAAGGCCCCGCCCUGUGAUGUACAGUCCCAUUCCACAAUGAAGGCGAAGAUGGCCUUCGAGUCUGCGCCUGUGUAUUCCUAUGGCUUCUCAGAGUCCUCUGGAUGAUGACCGAGGAGACAAACCGUGCAGGAAACGGUC